CAAAUCUCUAUCGUAUCUUACGGUAAAGAAAAACCAGCUGUACUGGGCCAUGACGAAGCGGCAUACGCUAAAAACCGUCGUGCCGUACUGGUAUACUAAGAGAGUCGCAUGAGCAGUAACUUCAGAACUCACCUGUU
rnacentral:sRNA from 1 species